CCAGUCAGAGACAGCGAUGUGAGGACAUCAACAUGAAAUAAAGUAAGAUUAAGAAUAUUAUGUUUAUUAUUCAUCUUUGUGCAAUUUGAUUUGCAUUAUUGAAUGUUUCUAAUUUGCUAAGUCUUGUAAAUUGUGUUUUUUUUUUAAAGAAGAAGAAAACAAGAAGUAAAGCGCUCUCAAUGCGAAUCAAACAACUGCUCGACUGAAGAGAUGAAGAGAAAAGGGCAGCUGCACAAUCCUUAAAUUUUGGUAAGCUCAAAUUCCUUUAAUGAAAUAACCCACAAAGUUUUUUUUCCUAUUUUGUAGAAGGCAGUCUGUCUGCUACACAACUCGGAGGCAAAUUGUAGGCACUAUCACCAGGAGCAAAGAUUAAGUUCAACACAUAAGGUCACCUCAGUUUUAGUGAGAGCUCUGGCUACAAACUUGGAAUUGAAGGCCUUGAUAAAAAUUCCUUUGGUAAGUCAUUUUCAUUGUUAUUUCUAUUUUGGCUAUUUCUGUAUAGUUAUGUUGUGUCUAUUUUUGCUUUUAACAAACCCAAUCACUUGUUUCUAGUGGCCUGCAAGACAUUACCAACCUAACCGGUGUGGCCGCAGCACGGAGUCACCAGAGGAGGAAGAGGUUGUUUUUUCAGCUCUUGAAGUCAAACCCAGUGUACUGGCUGUGGACAAAGUGUGUUUCUGAAGGGGAAUCACCGCUAACAUGAUGUCAGAUGAAGAAGACAAUGCUGUUGAUGAAGUGUCGGGUGGAUUGUGAGACCUUCAUCGUUCUUGUACUAAGCUGGAGCUGCGACUGUGUGUGUUCGAGCUAUGCACCGUUGAAUUGCUGUCUAACAGAAUCCCACCCUUACCUACGACCCCGAGGCAACAAAUUAAACACAUUUGAUGCCAAAUGUGAUCCCAAGAACAUAAUGUCUGGCUAUUUUUUACUUUUUGUGUGUUUAUUUUUC